rnacentral:rRNA from 1 species
AACGUAGGUGGCAAGCGUUAUCCGGAAUUACUGGGCGUAAAGGGCGCGUAGGCGGCCUUCUAAGUCGGAUGUGAAAUCCCCAGGCUCAACCUGGGAACUGCAUCCGAUACUGGAUGGCUUGAAUCCGGGAGAGGGAUGCAGAAUUCCAGGUGUAGCGGUGAAAUGCGUAGAUAUCUGGAGGAAUACCGGUGGCGAAGGCGGCAUCCUGGACCGGCAUUGACGCUGAGGAGCGAAAGCUAGGGGAGCAAACGGG